AUAUUUUCUCCUCCCCAUCCCUGAGGGGAAAGGGGGCACCACUGUUGAAAGGCAGACAGUAUGAGGGCAGACAUAAUCCCUCAUCAGAGAAGGCUACCUUGUGGAAGCGUCGGAGGGAAGGGGAAAUGAGUGCUCCAAAGCCUACUCCCAGCGGUGGAACAAGGUCAGUGAGAGUUUCUUGGUCCUUUUUCCUCAAGACAGAAUUGUAGAAGGGAAACGGAAGCUUGGUUCAGUACUUCCAUUACAACUGAGAAGCACAGAAUAAGAAAGGAAGGACACCUUAAGGACCAUUUAAGUUUGUAAGAUAUUGCAAACCUAUGAAAAAAAGCCUUUUUCUGGAGAGUUGCUUGUAAUCACAGGAAAGAGGAGCUACUGGAAUCAAUGUCACGGUCCAUUCUAGUAGUCUUCCUCUAAGUAGCAGGCUUUGCCAAGAUUUGAAGUAUGGAAAACAUACUUCAGUGAAUAAUUUAACUGCAUGGAUUGCGGUGGCAUGCAAACGUUUCAUAGAGCUCUGGGAAGGUUAAGAAUACGCUGUGGAGUAGUUUACAUGAUAGCAGCCUCUGUUAAGAAACAAAGGAAAGAAACCACUUGCAUUUUACUAAUAGCUUCUUUUUUAACUGGACUGAAUUUACCCUCAAAACUUCACAGAUCCUGAAGGUUUAUACAUUGUCUGUAAAGACAGAACCAUAGAUUCUGAGUGUUGGAACAGUCAACCAUUCAGAGCAGCAUAACAAGUCCCCGAAGAUGCAUUUCGGCUCAUCUACUUUUCCUGGUAUUUGGAGAGUUUGCUUUGACUCACUUGGAAGAAACCUUGAGGAAGGUCAGCAGUCAUGACUGAAACAUCACUUUCUUGAGUGACUGUCAAAAUAAACAAUUUAGGCUAGCAUAGGUUAUUGAAGUCAGUGUUUCUUUUUGCAAUAUUCUCUGUUAAGUGAAAGGCCUACAUUACAAAAUUUACUUUUAUUGUACACAAAGAAAUUUCAAGGUCACUUUUACCAUCUCCUCAGUCACAUAUUCCUUGUUAAACAAUGUAGAAAUAGCAAAGCUUAUUACUGCCAGCUUCUCUCUCUCCAAAGCUCCACUUAAAAGUGAAAGUAGGAUAUUUUUAGGAUGGAGAGUUUAAGUUUGCUUAGGCCAUAUCAUGGAAAGUUGGCUUAAGAACUGGGACAUCAGCUUGUGCCUUGGAUUUACUGCUCUGCCACAGAUUUGCUGUUGCCUUGGUAAAAAUUAUGGUUAGCACUUUCUUGCAUUACUCAAGUAUUAUCAUGAUCGAUAAAGACUGUAAAGCUCAGAUAAUGGCACAGUGACGGGGCCAAUGCAAGUAGGUUAGAUAUGUAGUCAACUGAAACUGAAUAGCUCAGUAGAAAGUCUGUUCUUCCGUAACCAGUUGUGUAUGCAGAAGCCACCGCCAUCUCCUGGGAUUCCCUAGCUGGAAUGACCAAGUCUCUCUUUACAUUUGGGCCUGGUUUGUGGUGAUGUUUUGACCAUGGUUACAUGACUGAAGAUCAUUUAGAUCUUCAGUAAGACGUCUUACUGUAUUGUUGUAGAAGGUUACCCCAGAGAUAGAUGGAUGUUAUGUUGCUUAUAAUCAUAUAUGUAAAUAUUUUUUUAUAUUAAACAUUCUCAGUGAUUGGGUUUGUCUAUAUAAAUAUUCUCUAUAUAUGAGAUACAGCUAUAUUAGCAACUCUUUUCUGAUCUUACUAUGAAAUAUAACCAGGAGCUCUGUAACAGAACUGAAUUGAGCCUUUCAAUUAAAACAGUGAUUAAGCUUA